GGGGUCUUAGCUCAGUUGGUUUAGAGCGCUUGCUUGACAGGCAAGAGGUCGAGAGUUCGAAUCUCUCAGAUCCCA
rnacentral:tRNA from 2 species